UGGUUUCACACCCCCAGUUGGCAAUCCACAAAGGUUUAGAGGGGGAAUUAAAUCCAUUUUUCAGCAGAAAUAACUAUUUUUGUGAUUAUCAUAUAGAUUCCAUGAGCUACACUUUGGUCCUAUCAAGACAGGCAGGCAGCUGCAUGAGAGGUGGAAAGAGAGAGAAAAUGAUUGAGAUGAAAUCACCACCAACAACUAUUGCAGGAAGAAAGGCAGUGCUGGAUUCCAGCCACAGUACUUCUGCAACCUGGUUUGAAUGGGCCUGAUGGGAUGCCAUAAUGGAACCCACAAGGAACAAGGCAUUUCUGUCAUGGCCACUUGAGAGCUUGGAUGAAGAAGAGCAGCAACUGGAAGAUACCAGGUGAAAAACAGAUGGACGGGUAAGGAGAAAAGGCUGUGCUGCAGCAAAGCUUCGAUUGUGUGCUUAUGGUAAUGGUGAUGCCUGGCGAUGGAUUAUGCUGUUUCUUCUGGGUUCUACAGCGGCGAUUAUGAGAAAUGACAGUGCUCAGCUGCAUGGGGUUUGCAUUCAAUACAUGUGACAGGGAACAGGAGUGGCUGUAAGCUUUUAGAAGAGGCCAUAUGGUUGAGCCAGGCAGAGAAGAGAGCUGCCCAUUACCUUGGCUUAGAUCUAUCAGUGGGCCAUCGGUACAACCUGGGUCAUCGCAGAGCUGCUGUAAGUGAAGCUGUAACUCAAAUUGGUUAGAGUUAUUCUCUGGCUGGAGAUUGUUACCAUUCGUUGUCCCCAAGGAUGAAUAGCAUGGGGUCAAGGCCUAAAACAGAACAUAGUGGAUAGAGUUCAGUAGCCUAAACGUGGAGAUCUAAGGUGUCUGAGAUGGUGGCAUGGGGUUGGUAGAUGUUGCACAGGUCCUGUGGGAGGGAAUUAGGGCAUCUAAAAGAGACAUCCAGGUUUAUGAAAUUAAUCCCUUCCAUUAUUUCUUACUUUUUGCCUUUAUGCUUAAUUUUGUAUCAUGUUUUGAACAUUGGAAGCUGAGAGAUUUAGCCCUGUGCUGGUUCUGUACUUAUGCAACAGAUGAACUUCCUCAACAGAUGAACUUCCAGUUGAUCUGAGCACUAGUAAUGCUAAUGCUGCUGCUACCCACAUUGGGACCAAAUAUUUCUGAAUGUUGCUAUUCUUAUUCUCAUCCUCUCUUUAUUUCUUUUCCUCAGGCCUUUCGUCUAUUAGUUCUACUUGCUCUUCUGCCUGCCCCAUAUCCUUCUUGUAACAGUUUUUCUUUGUUUUAGAUUUCUUGGUUGCCUUCUGCCUGCCCCAUAUCCUCCUUGUAACAGUUUUUCUUUGUUUUAGAUUUCUUGGUUGCCUAACAGGCCUGCCUACCACUGCCAGAGAAAUACUGCUAGGAAGUCAAGGGCUAAGUAUUGUUGACAACAGUGGGGUUAUGACCUGGAAAUGUAGUGGAGAAACUGAAUGGGCUAAUAGUGAAAAUGUAUGUAGCAGCUGAAAAGAUGGGUACUAUGAAUAUACCAGUGUGUGUACAUAGAUCUCUAUGUAUUUGCUUAUAGAUAAGCCAGAAUCUACAUUAAAAGAAUGUCACAAACACAACAAAUUCAAGGACUCAAAUACAAAUCAGUUCAACUUUUAAAGAAUGGUAAAAAAGGAUUUGAGAUAUUCUCUGUGCACUCGAAGUAGCUAGCAACAGCACGAUGGCAGUUCUAAGUAAAGGGCUUUAAUCAGAGUAUAUAAAAAGCCUGGAAUGAUGUUUGAACAACAUGUCCAGCUCCCAAACAUUGUCUCUUUCCUGCUAUCAGUGACACCCAUUGUGCAAUAACAACGUUUGCACAGAGAUGCGUCCUGCUUUGCACAGAGAGAAUAUACUGAAGCAGCCAUAUGGCUGCACUAGCCUUGGCUAGAAGAGUCCCUGAGGGCCCAUCUGCCAGUUGCUUACUGAUGUAGAGCUGCUGCUGCUGCUAAUAGGGUACAUGCUCCGGCUCCAAGUUGAACUAGACAAUCCCGGGCACAGUCAGAUGUGCUCACAGGGAUCAAGUUCAAGCCUGUUUAAGAAGUUAGUUCCCGUCAGUGCUGAUUUAAGCUAAGGAGUUUUGCUGUGUAUUGGAAAGGACUAGGAAUGCUCACAGAGUCAGCUACUUCAUCUUGGCUGUCACAGUGGUGAUUUCAACAGAGCCAGGGGAGUCGGAAAGACAACAAACAGCUGAGAUCUGUAACGUCCUAAAUCAUGCAGACACAAGCUGCAAGAGGUGUAUUUCCAUUAGAGGUAUGCCUGCUUGUACAUACCAAAAUUAUGCUCUUUCAAAGUAGUUUAGGCAAGAGGUGCCUAAACUUCUUUGAAGGUGUGGAUCUUUGUUCCACACUGGAAAUGGUUGUUGUUGGUUUAACAUUACUGGAGAGCAACUGCAGCAGGCAAAAUGACAGGAUGGGUGAGGCUAGAAAACACAGAUUUUUGCUGUAGAGAUUUACGUAUCAUCGUUGGAGAGCAAACGUAAAUUUUCCCCACUCUACUGAAUGUUCUUACAGGAGAGGAAAUUAAAAAAUGAUCAUUGCAAGGUUCAAUAGAAUGUAAAUACACUAAUAAUUAGGCAAAAGUAUAUUGUACGUGAUAUCUGUGUUAAUGUCACCCAAACUCAUCGUUAGCCAUGCUCCUUCUAGGAAUAUUCCACAUGUGCUAAGCAGGAUACACUUUUGUGUGAAUACUAUUUCACACCAUCCGGUAUAACUGAGAUCAGCUAUGUGGUCUUCCAGGCUUGGGAGUCAGAAUUGGCUAAGUAUCAGAAUAGUCAUAUUGCGAGACUGUUGAGCAUAGCUCUUCUGUUUCCCAAAAUUGUUCAGUUCCUUCACCAGAGGAGCUUGCAUUACAGAGCAGGAAAUGCAACUAAAGAUCUUCUUAGUGACUGUCACCUCCUGGAAGUAUUAAUUCCACAUUCCCAUGGAGCAACUGAGUUCUGGAGUGGCAGUUCAGCUGUAACUGUUCAACUUUUUCCUGAGAGAUUCUCAGUGAGGGCACCCUUAUGCAGAUCCAGCACCCUUAGGCAGAUGCACAAAAGUGUUUCAGUGUCUAAGCCCUAAGUAGGCCCCUGAGCUAUAACAGAAACCAAAUGCUGAGAUUCUCAUUGGCUGAUGUCAACAGGAGUUAAGAUAUCAAAAAAAAAAAAAAAAAAAAAAAAAAAAGGCACAGUAAGUAGGUAUUUACUCUGGCUUGGACACACUAUGGUGAAGCAAAGAUGACUUCUUUCUGGAAUGUAUUGUUCUGUUUUCUAAGUGAUCAUACUAUAGUGAAAAUGCAGGUGAAGAAACACAAGGAAAAUGGCUUAAAUCUUGUUACCUUGGCAAGGCUCCCAUUGACCACAGUAGAAUUUUACCUUUGCAUGCAUUAAGAGAACAGCAGGAUCUGGACAGCUGGUUGCUUAGUUUGGUUGCUGGUGUUUCUAAACCUAUAAUAAGGCUGUGCCGAAUGCAAAUAUUUUUUAAUCUGAAUACAGAGAUCUUUUACCAUUGCUCAAGGCCUCUUGAAGGCAAUGCACACAACAUACAAAUGGAAGCUGUAAUCUAUAAUGCCACAAAUCCUUUAGGAGGAUUAUCUCUGUUAUCUCAUCUGACAUCAGAGAAUUACAUGUAAUAUAGACACAUAAAUGGCUUAGCCACAGAAAGAUCCUUUAGAAAAGAAUAGGAGAGAGGAAGUUUUGUAAGUUUGUAAGCAGGGGAGAAGAGGGAAGGCUGUUCAAGUGAGAAAUGGAUCGGAGCUAAAAUCUUGUUUGGGCUCACUGCAGACCUUGCUUACUUCAGAGAAUUUGAAAAGCGAGCUGAGUCCACCCUGUCUUGGUUUGCAUGUAGUCAUUUACACCCCUGCAAAGGCUGGAUGCCAAGCAUGCUUGUGCCUCCACUUCCCUUUGGCUGUCCUCAGCCAAUUUGCAUGAAUGUCAGGCUAUGCAAAGAGUAAGGCAAUGAAGGAUUCAACCCUGUAGUUCCAUGCUGGUCAAACGAAAGCCUUGGAUUUGAAUAACUUGAACUCAGGACAGGAUCGUUUGACCUAUAAAGCUCAGCAGCACAGCUAGACAGAAGAUUAACUCAUUGCAAGACCAGCCUAGAUUCAUCUUUCAGAGUUCUUCUCUCCUACUGCCUUCUUCUUUAUGGGACCUUGAUGGUUUCUUCAGAGAGAAAACUGGUAAAUAUGAUGUGAUUUCCUGUUGUCUGUGCCUUUUGUUAUGCCUCCUACCUGUCUUGUCUCUUUUUCCAUGCAGGAAAAUGAGAUUCUAAUCUAGUCUUAUCCACUUGCUCUAGUUACCUGCUAGUUAUCUCUCCUUCUCACUUAGAUAUCACCCUACUUUUCCCCUUAAAUUUUCUCUCUGGCUUUUUUUUCUUUUUUUUACUAAAAAUAGAAGUAGCUUUGGUUUUUCCCUUCUUAAAAAUACUUAUCUACCAGAAUAUCUUCCCUCUCCAGUUACCAACCAGUUACCAACUCUUUCCUUCCUUUCAUCUCUAACAGCACAGAACGUGUUGUUUAUUACCUAUGCACCGAUGUCAGAGGUGCUGUCCCGGACCCUCUCUAAUCCAGCCUCUACACUUCUCAUCUAUCUGAAACCACUCUCACCAAAUUCUCUAAUGAUGGUAGGACAAAAAGAAGGGAAAGGACAUCUUGGCAUACCUUGUAAUCUGAAAUACCUAUUUUAUAUUCUCCUGUUUUGGGAGCUGAUUAAAAACCCACUGAAACUAAUGAAGUGUUUCCAAUAAUGUAAUGAUCUUUAGACCAGGACAGCAAAAUUGCACAUUGUGUGAAUUAGGGUUCAAGAAGGAAUUCCAGUAGUUUGUGUAUACAUGGCUCAUUUCCUGUAGCUUUCACACUGUCCUUUCCACUCCACUGACCUCUGUCUGAUCGUAUACAAUCUCCUUUAUAUUCACUCUUAUAGGAUAAGUAGUUGGAUGUGCAUAGAAGAAUGUUCCAUUUUCUGAAAGAAUUUCUUGGAUUCCCUGAAGAGAUUAGUACAGAAUUUUAAUUAGGGGCAUUGGCAGAGUUCCCAAAUGCUGGUAUGUUAGGCCAUGGUUUUCAUUUUCAUCCCCCAUUUUGGUUCCUCUACAAAGCGUAGGAUUUCAGUGGAAGUAUGAGAAUGAUGACUAGUGAGUGAUGCAUGUUUUGUCCCUCCAAUUUUUGUUCCUUCCAUUGAUAUGGAUGAGUCACGAUUAGCAGCAAAGUCCUGUCUUUUCCUACCAGAGACUAGUGAUAUUGCCCAGUGUGCUGAAGACAACUGUCCAAAAGAUGUCAGUGUUUGAAGUGACCAGUAAAGCUUCCACUAAAACUCUGGAAGGCAUACAGGAUGCAAGUGUCAUUAAUUAAGUUCUAAGAGCCUACAGUGCUGUGGGAACCUGGCAUAAAAUACACAAGCUGAACUUUGUUUGCAACUUCCUUCUAUUUAGGGAUUCAUUAAAGGGCUGAAGCAUUUGUAGUCAUUUCAGGACCCAGUGCUAGAAUAGCUGAUUGCUGGCUUGGUCUUUUGUAUACAGCGUAACACAUGAAAGGACUGUGAUCAAAGAAUGCAGGUGCUGUUGAGGGCAAUGAGAAUGCAAGUAUGGUGAUUGCUUGCCAGAUACAAUAUAUAACUUUACAUUUAGCUGCACUUUGCUUUGGUCCAUGAGUGGAUUUUGUAGGAAUUGCUCAAUGAUUUUGACUGAAGUGGCUUAAAUGCAUUGUUUAAGCAGAGCCAAAAGUUUAUACCUCUUCUUUCAUCUUCCUCCUGCUUUUUUUUUCCCCCUUCUAGCACCUGAGGGAAACAUAACCACUGGCGCAGAUCAAACUUAGACUAAGGCUUUAGUAAGUUAAAUUGGUUUCACCUUCCUUAGCAUGUUAGAGGUGGCUAUCACAGUUCAUUUCUCCUGGAUCCAUGGUUUUGUAGUGGAGGAGAACCAAGCUACACAGUACAGCUUUAAGUACCUUCACAGUGAGACCUUAAGAAACUAUAAAUAAUUAAUCUUAUGACCGUAUUUGCCAUACCUAGAUUUUCUUCAGUUUCUGCUGUAACUGUUCUCAUCUUGUCAGUCUUUUCUUGCUUUGUUAAUGGAAUGUUCUCACCAAAUGUCAAAGAGAAGUCUAUGCCAAAGCAUUCUUUUUAACAAGCAUCCUAUCUGAUCACCCCCCAAAAAUAGCAGGAGCCAUAUGAAACAAGUGAGGUUGUGGACCCUGUCUUGGAGAGCAUGCAUUAAAUAAUACGGCCUUCUGUCACCCCUUUUUUGGAGGGAGGGGUUAAAAUCUGUAUUUGCAGGCUGAGAGCAGGUGUCUGUGAGGAGAUCCCAUGCUGUGACAUGAAUGCAGCGCAUUGCUGAUGAAAUGGCCACAGGAAGACAACAUGGACCCCUCCCAGCAUGAUCAGGAGAAGCUUAAUUAAGUUCUGUGGUUAAUUUUAAAGACCUAUUGUCAGAAGUAUAGCAGGGAACUUCAGUCUGGCUUUCGAAAGUGCUGAACACCCAAAACUUCUCCUGAGGUCUCCAGGAAUUACAGCUGAAGAGGACUGACACAGGGCCCCACUGCGCUAGAGGUUUCAGAUAAACAGCUCUGCCUGACAGUCUAAUGGAUCUCCCAGAUCUGCCAGCAUCAUUGUCACUCCCCAACUGUCCAAAAUAGUCUAAGUUUAAAAAAAUUCCUAUGAAAAUUGUUGAAGCUCAACAAGUUUGUUUUGCCUGAACUGAGUUGGAGUACAUACACAUGCCUGGAGAUGCGUUGGAGGUGGUAGCCGCCAGUCAUGACAAACACCUGGGACUGGGCUAGAAGAGGCAGUAUCUCAAUGUGGAUCACCAGCAGCCUGAACAGCAUCUCUGACCACAGUCUAACUUCAGUGCUUCAAUACUAUGGACCUUCUCCUUAUGACCCUCAACCACUUGCUUAACCAAGAGCCUUCCACUGGCUACCUCUCUGCCUGUCCUGACCUGCAAAACAAUUUCAGCCAUGUUACUGUUGAGCUGCUCAGAGGUCUACCUCACCAAAAGUCUGGUGGGUUUCUCAAUCUCUAGCUUCCUCUGCUUUGGUAUGCCCAAAUGAUCGGGUGCUCCAAGAGCAUACCUAACUCACACUUGAGGGCUAGUGACGGGGGGAUGUCUGUGUAUCCAGUAACUUGAGUUAUGAGGCACCAAGUUCUGAAGGAAUGCUAGAAGGAAAUCUAGUGAUCCUAUGUGCAUUACUGAAAAUGGUGCAAAGAUGCUUCCUCAACACACGAAGCUCUUCUACUUAGCAUAAAAUAAUUAUGCAAAUGCCUCCAGAGUGAGGUCAGAGUAAUCUUAAAAGCUAAUGCCCAUAUCAACAGUGCAUCAGAUAUCCGACUGUCUACAGCUGCCACAGAGGAGCGCAAUAGGAUGCAAAGUCCUCAGCAAGGUUCUUAGCCUAGAUUGGUCACAGUUAGGGAUAAAAGGACAAUUUUGUGUUCACAUAUGUACUCACUGCUGGUGGCAUAGAUUAUUUUGAUUUUCAGCUAUUGUCAAUGGUAGAGAACAACCACCAGGAGAAGAGUGAGAAACCUCACAUGCCGGAGAGAAGCUAAAGCAUUCCAGGAAAUUCCAUCAGAUCUCUGGACACAACUCAUCUCACGUGUUGAGAAAUGUGACGCUGCAGCAUAUAUAUCAACAGAGGAGUUAUCUUGGUUAUCCCUACCAGCAAGAGUGGCCCCCUUUGCCCAGCUGUGUCCCAUAAGGGGAUGUAAUGAGCAGUCAUUUAUGCGGCAGAAGAUAUGUCUGGCUUGAGAGCUUUGAGGUGCUACCAUGUCCUGAUCCAGCCUCCUGUUGGGGGAUGAACCAGAACUGGACACCCAUCUUCCCCACCAUGGGCGAUAUUAGCUGAGAACUACUUCAGACAUUCUUGACUCCUGAUGAGUCAUAACAUAUGCACAGCUCAUAUGUGUGAAGUAAGUCAGCUCUUCUGCCUUUCCCCUGCUACAGCUGCUUCCUUACCCCUACAUAUCAUUCCUGUUUCUACACCUCCUUCACCAAAACAGUCUAAGAAAGAAAGUAAUGAGCAAAGAUCCUUCUGAUAACCACCAGUGCUGUUACAAUAGCCGCAUCAUUUGGUGUGAAUUUAACCUACAGCUUCAGCUAAGGACUGGGAACCUGAGCUCUGACUGAUGAUGUGAGCAAUCUCUCUGUCACACUAAGCUAAUCACAGCAAUCCAGCUUGAAGUGUCAGUGCAAGAUGGACAAAUGCUAAAUGGAAAAACAGAUGGGUAAUAAUAAGAUGGGUAAUUAUUUUAUAUUGUGAGCCUAUCAAGAAUUGUUCACUAGUGAUGAAAUCUCUGCAAAUAUAGCGCUGCAUAUAGAUCGAAUAUGGUCUUCUCAUUUCAGAGCUGCUACAUGAAAUACUGAACAGUGGUAUCCUCUCUGCAAAUAUGUUUUUGUUAAAAAAGUUGACGUUAAACUUCUCAAGAGUACCAAGAAGUGCUUCAAGUUGGAUCCCGAGCCCCAAAUAUUGGAUCUCUGUCCCACUGAAGAUGACUGACAAAAUGCUCCCAAGCACCCUUCUCCCCAUAACUCAGAGCAGCCUUGGGUACACAAAGAAGGAAAGGUUUCAUCUGAAGGAGCGAGUUCAGUGAGCUUGGAUGGGAGAUGUCACCAGAGCUUUGGUUGUUGUGUAAAGUAUAAUGGCCUACUUCUGGCAGAGGAAGUAAACAGAAUUAGUCUGUGAGCUUAUCCCCUUACAGUGGCUAAAAUGUUUUCUUCCUGCACUCUUUCACCUCUUCAUUUCUGACCAAAUGCCAUGCCUCUGCCAUCUCACUGCUGUCUGCUGCUCUCUUCUCUUCCAGCUCCUUCUCUUCUCUCUUUUCUUCCAGCUCCUCAUUUCAAUUUUGCCUUCUCUCAGCUGUUCUCCUCUUGGACUUGUUGUGCAGCAUGCCAUUAUGUACCAUCACGUAUCCUCUCUCCACUGUAUAGACUCCACUUAGUACUUGUAAGCUCUUCCUGACAGUUGUCCAGCAGCAGUGUUUCCAUACCAGCACUUUAUUCUUUGCCCCUAGCCAAUUAUGGGCAUUUGUUUGCAUUUGCACAAGGCAUAGGCACAUUCUUUUUUAAAGAUCUUAUCCCACAGCUAUGUCAAGUUCCUAACACCAUUUGCAUCAUCUAAAAUGCUGCAUUCUUUGUGGGUGAGAUGAGAGCCUGCUGGCUGCUUACAGCAACUGAUAAAAUGACAAACACAAGAAACCUAAAAUAUAAAAUUAAACCCUGACAAGGCAUCCAUCCAUGAGAUAAUCCUUGCCUUUGGUCUACCACUAAUCUAAGUACAGAGAAAUGGGCAGAUUUUGUUAUCUAACAGCACCCUUCUCAGAGAGAUGUAUAAAGAAGCUUAAGAAAUAGGCCUCGCUGGGCAGCACACUGUAUAGCAGCAGGAAAUUGCGACUCCAGUGGUGGGGUUGCCACAGUAUCUCACUGGACUUUGGGAACACCAUCCCUUCUCCUAGGUUCCUCUAAACUUUCACCAUCUUCAAAGAGGUGAGAUAAUCUACUCAGAAAUGUUUUCAACUGAGAAAUCCUAAUGCCUGUACAGAAACUCUAUUUGUUGCAAAGAAAGGUCACUUGCCCAGGGCAGGGCUGGACUUCCAAAUGACUAUUGAGACUAUACUUCUUUCUUACAGGAGUGUGGAUGAUGCUUUAGUUCAUCUCAGACUCUCCUGAGCCUGUGUUCACAUUUUGCCUGAUCCUGUUACUCAAACCUGGACUCAGACACUUGGCUGGUUUUGUGCACAGAGCAGCCCCCCGCACAUUCUCCUGCAGCCUCUGAAGUCACUAUUAGCUGGUACUCCCAUUCUUCUGAGGGGGCAAACUGGCAGCAGUAGGUACAAGGAGGGCACAGACAGGAAGAACGAGGAAUUCCUGCCUGAGCUUCAGCAUGCAACACUGUAGGGAGGGAGACUCAACCAUUUGUGUCUAGGAUCAGCCCUCACUGCACUGAUGUCAAUCUGUGCAGCUGGGUCCCUGCAAACACAUUUCUUUCUCAGGUGCUUUGAGCAAAUUCCUGAAUUUCAGAAAAAGCCAUGCUUGGAGAAGCAAUGUAAUGUAAGGCAGCCAACCCAUACAACAUGCAUCAAGCCACUCAUAUGGGAGUGCCAGGCAGCUCCUUUUAGGAUGGUAUGUUAUUAGGGGUUGGAGAGAGAUGUAUCUUAACAUUUCUAGCAGUGACUCACAGCCUCUUUUGUGACAGGUCUUCACAUGGUGAAGAGACCAGAUGUUGACAUUAGGCCUGCUAAAAGACCAUGCAGAUGAGAUGGCUCAUCUCUAGUCUCAUCUUCACCCUUUAUGGAUGCCCCAGCAGUCCAGGUGCCUUGCCACACAUAGGUGGCAUUCAGCUCUCGGGUGUCAUAGUGGGCAAAGUCUGCAGACCAGACUGAACUGGCCUGUCUGGUGGAUGACUUUUCUUUAGAGGACACACAGGUCAUGUUUUCUGCCAGGAGGAUCUUCCCAUUGUAACAUACUGCUUUCAUUUGUUCAGAACUUUACCAAACUUUAAUUGUUUGAACUGAAUAUAUUUUCCUUUCCUGUUGUCCAUCCAAAGCUGAGGAUCUGGGAGAAGUUCAAUUAAAAUACUUCAGCUUUUUUUUCAUUUUGAGAUUGAAAUCAUGGAAAACUGUUUGUUUAGGAAAAAAGAGAUCUUCAUUAAGAUACUCUAGUACUGUGCAACUUGGAAUAUCUGCCUUUGGGAUGUUAUGGUGGAUAAGCUUGUUUGCCAUUUUAGUGGACAUUUUCCGAAAUGUUGCAAGUUGUAUCUAUUUAAAACAAGAAUCUUAAUGCGUUCAUGUUGGAGAAGACUUGCUGAAGCUUGGAAAAUGAAGUAUCUGAAAAGUCCUGCUUUCAGUGCCUUCCUGUGAGGAUACUUCAUCCUCUCACACCUAGAGCCCAAAUUAUAUGGCCUUGCUAUCAAGUGACUGGGCAUCUUCUAGCCAGCAAUACAGCAUAGUACUUCCUUUCAAUUGCUGUAGGAUAAUGUGUUACUGCCACUAGAGCACAAAGCCGGGGGGCCUAUCUCUUUCAGUUCCCAGUUCUCCAUCUACCCAUACCCACAAGAAAGAGUGAAUGGGAUAAGGAGGAGCUCUGGGGAAAGCUUGAGUGAGGGAGACAAUUGCAACUGUAAUUCCAGUAUUUUUUCAUAUUUUAAUCUAUUUGACUCUUGGAUCUUCAUAGUCUUUCCUUAUGGUGUACCUAUGUGCUAUCCAUUUAAAUAUCCUUUCUAUUUACAGGAAAAUGUAAGUCAGGAGAGUAAAAUAAACGCAUCACUUUCUUUGCACUGUAGCUUUCUUGAAGAUUUAUGAAAUUGUCUGUCACAGUUCCUUGACAAGGCAAACCAGAUAUAUUACUAUAGUAACAUUCAAAGUUGGUUGCAGGGAAAAUAAAAUAAUUCAAACUAAGGCAAUAUUUGCUCAAAUAACAUGAGUCGUUUGGAUUGCAUAUUCCCAACAACAGUGACGAAGGGGAAAGUUCUCAAGAAAGAGUGGCAAUAUGUCCCCAUUUCAUACUUAUGAAUCAAAAAGUUCUCACUGACAAUCUAGGAAACGUCAGAUAACACAAAAGUGGAACAUAUAUUCUUCUUUAGCAGGCUUAAGACAUGCGCUAACAGUGGGCCAAAUUCAUUUUACAAAUGCUUUGGAUUGCCUCUUGAUUUCUGUAAAAGGUCCUCUUUAUAGCAGUGAAAUACAUGCACAGAGGACUCACUGCCCUUUGGAUCAAGCUCUGAAUAAAUAAGACACCUCAAAGAUCGUCUUGAGGGAUUGGGGAUAUGCAGAAAGAAUCUGAGAGCAGAAUUUUGCCCUGCAUAAGAAUAUGGGAUAAAAUGUGAUUCCCCUACCAUGGAAGGAUAUGUAAUAAUAAAAAUAAAUGCAAAGCUUCUGUGCUCCUGAAGACCUCUGAGCUCUUAAACAAAAUACAGCUGAAAACAAUGUGCCAAAUUCUGUUCUUUCUAUGCGGCUCCAUUGAUGCACAAGGAAUACAAAGACAGGGUCUGACAACAAGAGAUUGCCAGACUGCAAGUGGGAGCCAAAGAACCACAAAAAGUCAAGGUUAUGAUUUUCCAUGCAGAAAGACUUAGGGAGACUCAUGUUCUCAGUGAUUUCAUUUUAGACAAGAGGGAAAGAAACAAAUGGAAGAGAAGACUGUGCACAUCUCCUCUCUAACAUGCGGUAUCAGUCUGGCUUUGUACAACGGCAGCUGAGGGAGGGGCAGGAGAUGCUCCUGGGGAAUAUAAAGGCCUACGGAAAAUGAAGUCAUAUCAGGCACAGAACCAUCCAUCUCUCAGCGCUGGAUCUGUCUGCUCCUAAUACAUGUUACAUUUACGUAAGAGAGUGCAAAACACACUUUGCAUUGCAUAAAUACGUUCAGAUAAAUUGUACCUUGGAGAAGAUGCCUUGCCCCCUAAAACAAGGAAUGGCACUGGUAUAAAGUUGAUUUGUCUAAUGACUGCCGUUCUUAGCCAACAGGAGAGCCUGAUUCCAGGUAGCUGGCUGCUUCGGUGGAGGGCAAUGGCAAGCAUUUGUCUGAAGGGAGGAGAGAAAGGAGAUGAGCAAAGGAAAUACUUGUUCUUUUACCCUGUAAAAUCCAACCCACCCCUUUAAGAAGAAAAAAUUUAAAAAAUCACUUCAACAGCUAAUGUAGCCAGCUCUGAAGUAGGAAAGUUCAAAGAUAUUGUGGUCCUAUUACCUAAAUUUUAAUUAGCCUGUGGGUAAACAGGGAGCUUUGAAGUUGUCUACACAGUAUUUUUCAUGUGCCCUGUUGACUUGAAGAGACUAAAGACUCCAGCAACAUUCAAAGCUGCCCUUUGCACAUGUGUAAAUGAGUCCACAAAGUGCAAAUGUGGUGAGUUAGGUCUUAGCCUGAAAGAUUUUCUUAAGGAUGUGCAUGCUAGUUCCAAAAGAAGUUCCAUGUAGACCAGUAGGUCUCCACGGAGUAGCUGUGAAGGCAGUAAGGUUCCCAAAGUGCUGAGACCUGCCCAGCUGUUCUCUGUACAGACCCUGCACAGACCGCUGUGCUGUAGGUUAACCCAAGAUGUUCUGAGCAAUAAAAUAGUGUAAGCGAUGAAAUACCUAGUUUUUGGAAAAAUUAGGUUGUGUUCAUUUCCAUGAAAAUCUCUGCUUUGGUUGAGCUACUUCUGACUUACAGCAAGAGAUGAAUUUGACCUGCUCUCUCUUUCUCAUCUGUUAGGUUGCAGCUGUGCCCUCUAGCACUGUGUAUGUAUUCCAAGCUCAUCUAGAUGUCGAAACAGAAGCUCAGAUUAGAUGACAAGCUUCCAUUCUUUCUGUGUGCUGCCAAUACCUGGUUGUCACUAUAAUGCAAAUGAGUUGUGAAGAAGUGCUGGAUGCUUUAAAAAUGCAGUUAUAAUUUUGGAUCCAAGCUGUGAGAACACUCAUUGGAGACAACUGUUCUCUCAUGGGCUAGCCUUGAAUAAACAAUCACAGCUCUGUGUGAUAUUACUUCUUAACCAGAUUCUAGCAUUGAGCUGUUGCCUUGCCAUGGUUACUCGCCUUUUAAACCAAUGUUUCUUUUCCUUCCUUUUUGCCAAGAUUCCCGCUUGCUUGGCAGUGACUCAUUCUUGUGUGAACUUUUGCCCUAUUUUAAUCUCCACCAAAUUUUUAGACUAAAAGAACCUUUCACUGAUAUCUUUUGUUGUCCUGAAUUUCUUUUCUGUUGUGUGAGAACUUGCUUGGGGACUUGGCUUAUGGGAGUGAGCUCAAGUGACUGUCUUCUCCUGAGUGUCCACCAGCUGGCAGGCAUCCGUGAGGAGAUUAAAAAACAAAGCCACAACAGUACAAGACGGUAGCUACUCCUGAAGUAAAAUUAAAUAGGAAAGAAGGACACACACAUAUACACACACAAACUACCAGGUCAUUCACUUGAAGAUUUACUUAGGCUUGUCAGCUCCUGAGCUUGCCUCACUUGCAUUCAUCUGAGGAUAACACUGUUAAAAUCCAUGUAACAGCAUCACUCUGCCACAUGGGGAUCUGAGGCCGAAUCCCUCACUUGUGUUGCGCUCCUGGAGCUGGCGGAGCACCAGGGUCCUGUGGAUCUAGGCCUGGGGAAAGGAAACAUGUUUCCAGUUUUUCCGGAGCAAUUCUCUAGAUAGCCUGGAUGAGCCAAACUGACAGUUUCUGUUGACAGAGUAAAAUGCCUCUAUCAGAAGAACAGAUCAUCUUGAAAUGCCUCAACUUUUUUUGUUAUGUGUUUUGUCCUAUGCAGAGGAGUCUGAGGGGAGAAAAAAAAGGGGGGAGUACAGGGACAUUCUGAAGGCUCUCUCCAAAAUAUUUUUUAAACAUAUAAUUGACUAAUAGUGUUCCCAGUGGUGAAAGAAAAACCCACCAUAGCAUUCUCUUACUUGCGCCCAUUCAGUCUCUUAUUCUUUGAAAGACAUGUCACUGUGUGGCUGCCUAUCAAAAAACACAAGCAUGCAUGUAUAAUACACGUGCAUACAUAUGUACGCAAACCCAGCGACAGUCUAAUUACUAUUUGUCACUGGGGAGAACCCAUUUUUCUACAGGAAGCAUAACUGGCAAAUUUCUGGUGUUAGUGAAAGCAAAGGUAUUGCUAUUUAUAAAUCUCUCAGGCUGAAUCACUUUUGGCUGUUUUUAAUGUAAAAAAAAGACCUACUUCAAGCCUCCAGCACAACAGACCCCUUUGGCGUGUUGUAUGGAGAAUGAACCAGGGAAACAUCAUGCUGGCAUGUGAAUUAUACAUUCUGACAGACAAACUAGGGACCAUGAUUUACUCAUCUUUAUUCUCAGACUAAUAAGACACUGUAUCCCAGACUAACAUAUGCAUGAUGCCACUUUUCCACCACUUAAAAUCUUCUAAUUGACAUUUGAAUGUACGAAUAGCAUCGUUACCUCUUUUUUUAAAAAACUUAACCUUACCAAUAUUUUUGUAUGUUAGACUUUAAAUGAAGUCAGACAAUUAAAAGUCUGUGCUUGCUCACUCUUGUUUAUUAACUUUUGGACAGCAAUUUUCUUCACAGUGGAAAAAUCAAUACUUUAAGAUAAAAUUUCUAACAAGAGUUCCUUUCUCAUAAAAUUUUAUUGGCAAUUUAAUGUUUCAUCUGUAUUGAAAUGGUAAAAUGUAAAGAACCAUCCUCUUUUUUGCUAGUAAAAAGUCUUUAUUUGCUUUGGAACAGAAGCAAGAGAAACAUUUUCACCUGAGUUCAAUCAUUUCCUACUUCCUUGAUAUUUCUUCAUAUGCAGAGAAAUCUGGCUGACUGAAAAAUCACUAGCUAAUUGACUGGAGUAUGCUUUAUAUGAGAGUAUUGGUUAUAACCUGCUAGUCAAACUCACCAUGUCUCAGUUGGGAGUAGGCACUUUGUAGAAGGCAAAAGUGCCUAGCCACUGCGUUUCAGUGAAUCAAGUCAUAACCUUGGGGCAAUCUACCCCUUUAUGCCUAAUGAACAAACUUGUAGUUGAGUCUAGCUGAAUUACUGUAUUUUGCUGUAGUACAUGGACAUCAGCAACUCACUGUACUCUCUUGGGCACUGAGGGGAAGUAGAAGGGCCCACUGUGUGCUACUCAUUCCUGGACAGGAACACAGGCAUUUCUAUUGGAAAGACGUGGAUCCUUGCUCAUAACAAAGCAGGAGACAGAAAAGAAAGGUUGUUCAAAGCCUUGCAGAUGGGUUUGCCACACAACAACAAUAAUGCUUUGCUCUGUUCUAGGCUCUCCCAUCUGAUGAUUUCAAAAUUUCUUAUAUACCAUUCAGUCCUCAGAAGACCCCCAAGGUGGGCAUAAAUACCAUGUGCAUGCUGCGUGCCAGGAAGCAGGGUGCAUGCUUAUUUAUUAGGUUAGAAACUGGUCUUCCUGGUGAAUGGAAGUCCCCUUUGAUACCCGGCUGCUACACGGUGAGCAAAACUAACACAAAAUAGUAGGUUACAGUAGAUCAUCACACACAGCCACAUCUGCCAUGCUCUGUUGCCAGCAGUGUGGAUCCCACCACAUAACAAUAAGCACAAAAUCUGCCCCACAACAUGAAGGCACAAUAAUCUUAAAGUGCUGGCAAAAUGCUUCAUUCUGCUUCACAGCUAUUCUGGUAGUAAGUCAGACUUGCAAAGCAGAUGUACCUCAGCCUUUGGGAAGGAGCUUCGCCAUACAAUGCUGAUUUGAGCCCCAAUUCGGAGUGUCACUUUCCCACACGGAGUAGUCCCUUGAUCUGUGAGGAGAGCCUAUGACUUCUACAGGGACUACUUGCAAAGGACAAUGCGGCUCAGCAGGCUCUUUGUAACUGUGUGGCCUUGACACAUUCAUCAGUAACAAUGACCCCUGUAAUCAUUUACAAUGCCUUUGGGCCUCAGUUUGUAAAAAAGCACUGCUAUGCCAAUCCAAUAGGAGAAAAUCUGGCAUGGUGGUGCCUUUAAAACCAGAAUUGUGAAGCAUUAUUUGUAUCGAGAGGUAAAAUAACAAGAAUUGGGAAGAGUGAGAAAACACGAAAGGAAAUAGACUUAAGGAAACAGAAGCUGGAAGUAAUCAAUAAAUCAUAGAAUAAAGUAAAGAGAGAGAACCUUUAAAGUGCCCAAGCUUAAAUGUCAAGAGUAUUAGAACAAAACAGCUUGAAGCAGAGGAAUGUGUGACAGAGGAAUAUACUGAAACUUUGACAGGAAGUAGACUCACUUCUGAGCAUGGAAAAGAGUACAGACACUAAGGACAGCAGAGAAGAAAAGUAUAAAAAAUUAGGAAAGCACAUAUGUCCCUCUUCCUUAAAUAGUUUGAAUGUGCAGGAUCAAUAUUAUUUUUCCUAGAAAAAUCUGAGGAGUAAAGCUAGAAAGAAGGCAUCACAAUACUUACAAGGAUCAGCUUUAAGCUAUGUGAUAUGCUGAGAAUGUGUUAACAUAUAUGGCAUGAAGGUAGGCCAUCAGUAUUGCAGUGUGAUAGAAUGCUGCUUACAUUGUAUUACGCCAAAAAGAAACCGAGCCAGCCAAGGCAGAGCUGUUACAUUUAUUCCCAGACAAAUUCACACAGUUAAAAUUUAGGUUUUUUUCUAAUGACAUUGUUUCAACGGUGCACUUAAUCACACAGAGCUCUAGGCACAUGCAUUUGCCCUGCUGAAAUCUAUGUAUAUAAACAUACACUUAAAGUUAAGCUGGUACUCAAAAUAUUUUGCCAAGCUGAAGCCUAUGUGCUGAUGGAUUACCUAGUUAGCUGUAAAUUGCAUGGUUACAUCUGUUUUUGGCUGCUGGCUCAGAAACAGACACCUAUCCCCUUUGAAACAAGUUUACCAUGACUUAGUCACAUAACACAAUAGAUCCAUCUGGCACAACAUGCGUGUGCAUUGAAACCAAAAUUUUCUGUUCAAAAGGGUUUGCAGUCAACUGAGCAAUGACGGCUUAUGCUCCCCUCAGUAGAAGCCUAUAUGGGAAGAAACAAGCACACUUGGAUGUCCCUUGAAGAGCAGAAUUUGGGAAGCCCUCACAGAGGCUGCUGGGACAUCUGUCCCAGUGAGAGGCAGACAAGCCUCUGGCCCUGUGCUUAGGCUCCUGUGCCCCACUGGUGGCCAAUAUUGCUGCACCAGUACUAUUCUUGACCAGACUGGUGGCAUCGCCUGCUGCAAAGACCUCUUGUCUGGGCCCACAGCUGGAUGGCUACUAUUUCCAGACUGUUUGUGUCAACUUAGGAUAUGGCUGUAGUAAAAAAUCCUUAAAAAGAUGCACUCCCAGGGUAUUUGUUCUUUUGGUAAUAAGCAUCACCUAAAAUCCACGUGGACCAUUCAGUCAGGAGCAGUAGAAAAAAAGCACAGUGAAUUGCUUGUAAUGUGUUGUUAGUUUGAAUCAGGAGGCAAUAUUGAUAUGGAAAAAGAAAAGCUUAGCCCACUUUUAAGAGACUUCAUUAAAUUAUCUGGCCCUUUUGCUGCAUGCAAAUGAAUGACUGUACUGAUGCGUAAGAGUAUUGUCAGCAAAUAAACACUUAAAACUUCAUGCUGUUAACACUUGCGUUCAUGUUGCUAAGCACGCCCACUGUAAAAGAGAUGUUUCCAGAAACCUGAUCUGUCUGACAUAAGUGGAGUGCUGAGUCAGAUAAAAAAAUGUUAUCGCAAAUCUAAAGCCUGAGUGCUCAUUUGACAGUGAAGGAUUUUGUGGUAUGCCUCAAUGAGACAUGUAAAUUUUCACUCAUAAUUUUAUGAAAUCUCUCUCAUUCAAAUUGUCAAAGUAUGACAGGCUUGUUAAGAACAUCAAGGGGUGACUGGUCCUUCAUCUUCUCGCUCUAGCUCAACUGAAUGAUCGAUAAACAAACUAAAACUGACAGCUAUUGAGAAGAUAACAAGAGUUAAAGGACAUACAGAAGAUGUUUCUACCCCUCCCUGUCUAAUUCAGCCUAAAGAAAUUGAUAUUCCAUUCAAGAAAAAAUUGGAAGAGCAGAAAGAACAGUAGCAUAGACACGCUAACUGAUCCUGGUAUUAAGUCUGACUGUUCUGCCACCAGAGUGGCACGAGGCAGGGCAACUAAUGUGACUAGGGGCCAUCCAUUAUCUUCUGUUUCUAGGGGUCUAAUGUAACUGGACACCAAGGAGCUGGGAAGCCACUGCAAGAAUAAACAUGAAAGGUUCUCAGAGCCUCCCCAGGAUAUGCAUAGUGCCUUGACAAAUUUGAUGCUAAGUAAAACAAAGCAGAAUCUCAAGCCAAGGUCUUUUAUUAAAUAUUUGACCUCCAUUAAAAUUUCAGGAUAUUUUUGGUGAUGCUAGCUCUCAUUUUAAGUAAAUUCCUUCAGCUGUGUCCAUCUCUUAGUUGCUGUGAAUUUCUCAUUAAAAAAGGUGAUGCACAUGAAAUUUUUUGGUUUUUUCAGUGAACAUCAAUACUUGCAAGCCAGUUUUGACCAGGUGCACUUGAAACCUCAUUCUAAGAGUUAAUCAGGGAACCAAAACAUAUUACAUGAAUAGAUGGCUAAUUAGAAUGGCCCAGUUUUUGAACAUUAGAUCAGCGUUAUAAAAAUAACAUGCAAAUGACAUGCAGAUGAAGAAUGCUUCCAACCACAGUAUAUGAAAUACGUUACUGGGGGGAACCCCACACAGUCCGCUCAGGGACAAUUUGUGAUCAGGAUGUCAAAUAUCAUUAAAUAAAUGAUUCAUUAGAAGUUAUUCAGCUCCCUCCAGUCAAACCAGCAAGAACUAUACUGAAGUCGCCUCACGCUUGGCCAGCCUGAAGAUGAGAUGAGAGGGUGAUGAUGAGAUGACUGGCUCAGUGAACGAUGGGAGAGCAGUGUAUAUUAUUUAUUUUGACUUUAGCAAGGCUUUUGACACUACUGACCAUAACAUCCUCAUUGACAAACCAAUGAAGUACAAACUAGAUAAAUGGACAGUGAAGUAGACUGAAAACUGACUGAACUGUCAGGCUCAAACAGUUGUGAUCAGCAGCAUGAAGUCCAGCAGGAGGCCAGUCACUAGUAGUGUACCCCACAGGUUGAUACUAGAGCCAGUACUAUGCAACAUCUUCAUUAGUGACCUGGAUGAUGGAACAGAGUGCACCCUCAGCAAGUUUGCUGAUGAUGCAAAACUGGGAGGAGUGGCUGAUGCACCAGAGCGCUGUGCUGCCAUUCAGAGGGACCUUGACAGGCUGGAGAAAUGGACCAAUCAUAAUCUCAAGUUCAGCAAAGCAAAAUGCCAAGUCCUGCCCCUGAAAAGGAUUAAUCCCAUGCACCAGUACAUGCUGGGGGCCGAGCAGCUCUGCAGAAAAGGACCUGGGAGUCCUGGUGGAUGCCAAGUUGACUGUGAGCCAGCAAUGCACCCUAGUAGCAAAGUUGGCCAGUGCCUCCUGGAUUGCAUUAGGCAAAGCAUUGCCAGCAGGUGGAGGGUGGUGAUCCUUCCCCUCUGCUCAGCCCUGGUGAGACACACCUGGAGUGCUGGGGCCAGUGCUCAGUUCCCCAGUACAAGGGAGAGAGGGACCUAAUGCAGUGGGUCCUGCAAAGGGCCACAAAGAUGCUUAAGGGCUUGGAGGAUCUGUGAUACAAGGAAAGGCCAAGAGAGCUAGGACUGCUCAGCCUGGGGAAGAGAAGGCUCAGGGGGAUCUUACCAGUACAUAUAUAUAUACCUGAUAGGGGAAGUAAAGAAAAUGGACCCAGACUCUUCUCAGUGGUACCAAGUGACAGGAGAAGAGGCAAUGGGCACAAACUGAAAUACAGCAAAUGCCAUUUAAACUUAAGAAAAAACAUUUUUACUGUGAGGGUGGUCAAACACUGGUGCAGAUUGCCCAGAAAAGUUUGAAGCCUCCAUCCUUGGAAAUACUCAAAACUUGAGUGGACACAGCCCUGAGCAACCUGCUGUAGUUACCCCUGCAGGGGGUUGCACUAGGUGAUCCCCUGGGGUCCCUGCCAUCCUCAGCCACUCUGUGGUUCUGUGAUAGCCACAUCUUUCUGUACACCUUAGAGAUAUUGGUAUACUGAAUGCCUGUUACUUUCAUUCUAGGAAUGGCAUAUAUUACCAGAGGCUUUUCCAGAAAUUGUAUCAGUUCAUUGUCAUUUCUUUGAUGUACAAGCUGAAUUUACAACUCUAUUGCCAUUGUUAUUUUUCCUGUUUCUUACUUCCACUUUGCAGAAUGCUCUCUAAUGAAUAAAGCCUAUAGUGUAUCUCACAUAAUGAGAAAAGGUAAGAGAUGAUUAUCCUGUUUUGGGAAAGAGCUAUAUUAAAGCUGCAUUUGUUAUCUCGUUCUGCUGAGUCAGCACAAGCUUUCCUUACUCUCUUUCUCAGUACUUUGCACGUUGGGUAUAUACCACAGUGUCGUCUGUAUCCACACAAUGUUUAAAGGUUGGCAUUACUAUCCUGUGGUAAGAGAUUCUGCAUGGUUACACAAGAGAAACCAAGAGAAAUCAAGAAGCUUUCAGGAGAUAUAAUUUCCCCCCAGUUCAUCGAGGCAGCUGUUCAUCUCUGGCUAUCACCGGUGGUGGAUAUUUCUUCUGGGUACCACUAAAUAGAUGGAUUACUGCUCCGUCCCUUGCGUUCAGCCUCAUGUCAAUUCUGAAAACUUGCAAGGGUGCUAUACAGAGAUCUCAACUAUGUCCUAGAAAAAAACGUCACUUCACUUCAGAGAGAAUUUGGAGUAAAAUUGAUACUUAUGCUUGGGAGAGGGGGGAAGCACAGGCAGCAGGGG